GAUGAACGCUAUCUACAGGCUUAACACAUGCAAGUCGAGGGGAAACGAUAUUGGAAGCUUGCUUCCGAUAGGCGUCGACCGGCGCACGGGUGAGUAACGCGUAUCCAACCUGCCCACCCCUUGGGGAUAACCUUGCGAAAGUAAGACUAAUACCCAAUGAUAUCUCUAGAAGACAUCUGAAGGAGAUUCAAGAGUUAUCGGUGAUGGCCGGGGAUGCGUCUGAUUAGCUUGUUGGCGGGGUAACGGCCCACCAAGGCGACGAUCAGUAGGGGGGCUGGGAGGAAGGUCCCCCACAUUGGAACUGAGACACGGUCCAGACUCCUACGGGAGGCAGCAGUGAGGAAUAUUGGUCAAUGGGCGAGAGCCUGAACCAGCCAAGUAGCGUGCAGGAUGACGGCCCUAUGCGUUGUAAACUGCUUUUAUAAGGGAAUAAAGUGAGUCUCGUGAGACUUUUUGCAUGUACCUUAUGAAUAAGGACCGGCUAAUUCCGUGCCAGCAGCCGCCGUAA
rnacentral:rRNA from 1 species